GAGGAAGGGAUAGCGAAUUCGUGGCCUUACGGACAGAUACCUGAUAUAAGGUGGCUAGAGGUGGACAAGUUGGCAAAGGACAACAAAGUUCCAAGUAGGUAACCGUAACCCUUUAGGCAUAAAUCAGGAAGGUAAACGAAGAAAGAAG
rnacentral:ncRNA from 1 species